UACGUAGGGUGCAAGCGUUGUCCGGAAUUAUUGGGCGUAAAGAGCUUGUAGGCGGUUUGUCGCGUCUGCUGUGAAAUUUCGGGGCUCAACCCCGAACUUGCAGUGGGUACGGGCAGACUAGAGUGUGGUAGGGGAGACUGGAAUUCCUGGUGUAGCGGUGAAAUGCGCAGAUAUCAGGAGGAACACCGAUGGCGAAGGCAGGUCUCUGGGCCACUACUGACGCUGAGGAGCGAAAGCGUGGGGAGCAAACAGG
rnacentral:rRNA from 1 species